GUUUGAUCCUGGCUCAGGAUGAACGCUGGCGGCGUGCCUAAUACAUGCAAGUCGAGCGAACAGAUAAGGAGCUUGCUCCUUUGACGUUAGCGGCGGACGGGUGAGUAACACGUGGAUAACCUACCUAUAAGACUGGGAUAACUUCGGGAAACCGGAGCUAAUACCGGAUAACAUAUUGAACCGCAUGGUUCAAUAGUGAAAGGCGGCUUUGCUGUCACUUAUAGAUGGAUCCGCGCCGUAUUAGCUAGUUGGUAAGGUAACGGCUUACCAAGGCAACGAUACGUAGCCGACCUGAGAGGGUGAUCGGCCACACUGGAACUGAGACACGGUCCAGACUCCUACGGGAGGCAGCAGUAGGGAAUCUUCCGCAAUGGGCGAAAGCCUGACGGAGCAACGCCGCGUGAGUGAUGAAGGUCUUCGGAUCGUAAAACUCUGUUAUCAGGAAAGAACAAAUGUGUAAGUAACUGUGCACAUCUUGACGGUACCUGAUCAGAAAGCCACGGCUAACUACGUGCCAGCAGCCGCGGUAAUACGUAGGUGGCAAGCGUUAUCCGGAAUUAUUGGGCGUAAAGCGCGCGUAGGCGGUUUUUUAAGCCUGAUGUGAAAGCCCACGGCUCAACCGUGGAGGGUCAUUGGAAACUGGAAAACUUGAGUGCAGAAGAGGAAAGUGGAAUUCCAUGUGUAGCGGUGAAAUGCGCAGAGAUAUGGAGGAACACCAGUGGCGAAGGCGACUUUCUGGUCUGUAACUGACGCUGAUGUGCGAAAGCGUGGGGAUNNAACAGGAUUAGAUACCCUGGUAGUCCACGCCGUAAACGAUGAGUGCUAAGUGUUAGGGGGUUUCCGCCCUUUAGUGCUGCAGCUAACGCAUUAAGCACUCCGCCUGGGGAGUACGACCGCAAGGUUGAAACUCAAAGGGCAGCUAAACCGCGAGGUCAAGCAAAUCCCAUAAAGUUGUUCUCAGUUCGGAUUGUAGUCUGCAACUCGACUACAUGAAGCUGGAAUCGCUAGUAAUCGUAGAUCAGCAUGCUACGGUGAAUACGUUCCCGGGUCUUGUACACACCGCCCGUCACACCACGAGAGUUCGUAACACCCGAAGCCGGUGGAGUAACCAUUUAUGGAGCUAGCCGUCGAAGGUGGGACAGAUGAUUGGGGUGAAGUCGUAACAAGGUAGCCGUAUCGGAA
rnacentral:rRNA from 1 species